rnacentral:rRNA from 1 species
AUGGCCUCUUCAAACGGAGCUUUGAACCCAUCACUUAUUUCUGGGCUCCUAAACUCAAUUGAGCAACUCAAUGGGACUAACUUUCCUACAUGGAAGGAGCAGAUUUCCAUUAACCUUGGGGUCAUGGAUCUUGACUACGCACUUAGGGAGAAGGCUCCAGUUCCCUUGUCCUCUGAUGAUGAAAACCUUGCUGAGAGAACUAAGGUUUAUGAGGCUAACAAGGAGAAGUGGGAGCGCUCCAAUCGAUUGUCCCUCAUGAUCAUGAAAAGCACAAUUACUCUUGGGAUUAGGGGAGCUAUCCCCGAUUCCGAAUGUGCUAAGACUUAUCUGGCAUCGGUGGAGGAACAGUUUAAAGGCUCCACAAAAGUCUAUGCCAGUACACUGAUCAUGAAAAUGCUCACCACUAAGUAUGAUGGUGCAAGCGGUGUGAGAGAACAUAUCAUGACUAUGAACGAUAUGGCCGCAAAAUUAAAGGGCAUGGACAUGGAGAUUUCUGAGGGCUUCUUGGUUCAUUUCAUUAUGACCUCCCUUCCAGUGGAGUUUGGUCCAUUCAAGAUCAACUAUAACACACAGAAGGAGAAGUGGACCAUGGGUGAGCUCACGGCUAUGUGCGUUCAAGAAGAGGAGCGACUUAAGAUCGAGAGAAAAGAUUACGCUCAUCUUACUUCCAUGAACUCAGGGAAGAGAAAGUUUAAUGGUGAAAAUAAGACUCAGAAAAAAUUAGGUCCUUCACAUAAGGCCGAGUCAAGCAAGUCUGGGGCCAAAAGGUCAAAGCCUUCUGUUGCUAAUGAGCCUUCUGCACCUAAGAAGCCUUAUUGCAAGUUUUGCAAACAUGACGGACAUAAGGAGAAGGAUUGCGAUGGCUUUAAGGCAUGGCUUGUAAAGAAGGGGAUUCCUUACCGUGAGGACGCUUCAAAGGGGGGAGCGAAUUCUUAG